UGCAGCGGCCCUCCCUUCCCAGUCGGCCGGCGCCAGUUCGUCCCAUCCCUGGCCGCCCGUUCCUCCUCUUCCCGGCCGCGGCCGGGUCCUCCUCUCCAUGGCGGCCGGUUCCUCGCAUCCAUGCCGGCCGUUUCCUCCCUUCCGGAUGCCUGAUAAUCUCUCUUUCUCUAUCGUUUUGCAGCAGCUCGACGGAAGGACUCCAAGCAGCGGGUGCUCGACGGCCGGACUCGAACUGUGAAGAUGGUCAUGAAGAUGAACACAAGAAAAAAGAUGGUUAGGGGAGCUGCUGUUUUUGUUGCACUAGCUGCAAUGGCUGCUGUUUUUGAUGCUUUUGGGAAUUUCUUAUGUGAACUAUAUGGUUGUAUGUGCAACUUGUUGAAAAUUAUGUUCUGUGCUGUCAUUCAUGUGUUAUAAACUUGUCAAUAUCUAUUGUUAUGUUGUUUUUAA